rnacentral:rRNA from 1 species
CAGGGAUUGCCCUAGUAACGGCGAGUGAAGCGGCAACAGCUCAAAUUUGAAAGCUAGCCUUCGGGUUCGCAUUGUAAUUUGUAGAGGAUGAUUUGGGGAAGCCGCCUGUCUAAGUUCCUUGGAACAGGACGUCAUAGAGGGUGAGAAUCCCGUAUGUGACAGGAAAUGGCACCCUAUGUAAAUCUCCUUCGACGAGUCGAGUUGUUUGGGAAUGCAGCUCUAAAUGGGAGGUAAAUUUCUUCUAAAGCUAAAUAUUGGCGAGAGACCGAUAGCGCACAAGUAGAGUGAUCGAAAGAUGAAAAGCACUUUGGAAAGAGAGUUAAAAAGCACGUGAAAUUGUUGAAAGGGAAGCGCUUGCAAUCAGACUUGUUUAAACUGUUCGGCCGGUCUUCUGACCGGUUUACUCAGUUUGGACAGGCCAGCAUCAGUUUCGGCGGCCGGAUAAAGGCUCUGGGAAUGUGGCCUCCACUUCGGUGGAGGUGUUAUAGCCCAGGGUGUAAUACGGCCAGCCGGGACUGAGGUCCGCGCUUCGGCUAGGAUGCUGGC